CAUUUAACCAGGAAGUUCACGCCUCCUUCCUUACCAUGACGCGAAAUAUGUCCAAAGCUCGUUUUGAACCUGGAUCUCCUGCUUAUAAAGCAUAUGAUCUAACCACUGCGCCACGGCCGCACAAUAUUUGGCAUAACUUUUUUGUGAAUCAAGAAGCUCGUUUUAAUCAGUUUAGAAAAUUAAAAGGUUUAAAGAAAGAUAAGCGCUAGAAAAAGAAUGAGCUAAAACAAAAGAAGGCAGAGACACCAACAAAAAGCUUUGAAGUUAAUGAUAGUGAAGAGGAGGCAGAUAAUUAUAAAAAUCUUUGCAGCUAAAGACAGUGAAGAUAAUCAAACCAGGUAAUAAAACAAUUCACUCUAUGGAUCCUAUGGGAGAACAGAUAAAUUCCAUCAAAAAAGAAGAAGUGAAAUGGAAUAGUUGUUACUUACAACAAAGAUAUGGUGUUUCAGAAAAGUUUGAAAUAUUAACAUUACCACAUGCCAUACAAGCUGAAGUUUGCUGAAAGUUAUACAAAUGGAGAAGUAUUGGUGCGUUUCUUUCCACAUGUAGAAGUUAAUGCAUACAGAAAGAGAGAUAAAGGAGGUCAGAAAAGUUGGCAGAAUAGUUUGUGUCGCAUUUGUGGAAGCGAAAUUGGUCAAAAAACUAGAAAAAAUCAAAAAAAAGUUAAAUGGAUCAAAUGUGAUAUUUGCAUCUAAAUUGAUGGUACCGUAUAAGAUGCAUUGUUUUUAAAAAUGAAACUUUAUUUUGUUGUGAACAUAUUUAUAUAUAAAUGUAAU